rnacentral:lncRNA from 1 species
UUUAAUACCUCAUGAUAAUCAAAACCUUGUCACAAUUUUCACAUCUUUUCAGAAAAUCACAAAUUUUCAAAAAAUUCUAUCAUGGAUUACAAAAAAAAAAAAAUCUGUUUUUCACAGAGCCACCUUACAUUGGCCAUUUCAACUCAAAAAUCCACCUCCAAACGAAUAAAUUACAUCCAAUUGAGUACAUAUUUUGAUAAACAACACUAUAAGGAAUCAAAACCCUAAAUUAUGAAUAUAUUAUCAUCAAUAAAUCAAAUCAAAUCGAUUAAAUUGAGCAAAAAAAAAGAAAAACUCAGUUCUUUACAGACAACAGUCAUUGAAUCUAAAAAAUGAAGCUCAAAUUGAAUAAAUCAGAUCAAAUUGAAUACAUUUGGUUAUAAACAAGACUAUAACGAUUCAAAACCCUAGAAAUCUAUCGUGAACAAUAGAUCGAAAGGCGGAAAAAAAAGAAAAAACAACAUAAUUUUUUUUUUCACAGACAUCAUUGUGUUCUUCUAAACCUCAGGCUGUAAUUGAGUAAAUUAAAUAAAAUUGAAUAUGGUAAAUGAUAAAAGACACGAUAAAGAUUUAAAACCCUAUAAAUUUAACUGAUUAUUUUCAAAAUAUGGAUUGAAAUUGAUCAAAUGGCGGAAAAAAAAAAAAACGCCGAGUUCUUACCUGGUUUCGUGAACCCAUGGCUUCAAUCUCCAAAUUAAUCUGUUUUUCUCAAAGAUAAUAAAAAAUUCAUAUUAGAAAUUUCUAGUGAACACAUUUACAAUCAAUAUGCCUCAAACUUUUAUCAGAUUCAUGGCCUAUUUGACAUGAAACAAAAUGAAAAGCAGAAACCCUAAGACCCGCAACUUUUAUGAUCCAAAAAUUUGAAAUUUUUCCACCAUUUAAUGCAUGAAAAACCUGAAAAAAGCUGCAUAAUGCCUGAAUAUUCGAUCACAUGGCAAAAAAAGAAAAAAAAUGAUAAAAAUAAGGCAAAAUUUGAAGAAACCCGUGAAGAACACUGUACAGCCCGUGUUCUUCACGAGACUCGCCGAUUCGGUAUGAUGAAUUGGCGAUUCACUAUACAGAAUCGCCCGGUUCUCUAUGAAAUCGGGCGAUUCCGUGUAAAAUACCAGAACCGGCAUGGACUGUGCCGAUUCCCAAGUCGAACUGGGUGAGUCCGUUUCGACUCGGUAUUUUUUAAAACACUGGCUAUGCCGAUUCUCGAGUUGAACCGGGCGAGUCCGGUUCGACUCGCCGAUUUUUAAAUCAUUGGACUCAACAAUGAGGCGAUCCAAACCCAACUCUUCUCAACGAGUCUUGCUUAAAGGGCAUUAAAAAGUUAUAAAAAAAAAGGAGAGGAAAAAGGCAAAAGAAGUCAUGAUGGAAGAAAAGAAGAAUGAUAUAGGUAUUAAUUAGCAGACAACAACUUGAUCUAGCUAAAGAUAAGACCGAAAUUGAUGCUUAACUGGAUUAUUUUGAUAUAAAAAAAGUUGAAAUUGAAUAUUUAGAUUGAAAAAAAUCAAAUAGGAGCAACAAAAAGUCAAAAUAUGCAGAACUCCAACCAUGUGAAAGGCAAAUAAUCAUUAAGAUCGACCCCAAAACUAAAAAAAAAUGGAAAGCCCUAGAAUUUUCUGGUCAGGCUUUAAAACAUAGAGAUCUGAAGAAUGCCGAGAAGGUUUCGAUUGAAAAUUCAGUUGGACAGUCUCAAAUAGGCUUAUGAAUCUUGAAGAGCCAGCAUAAUCACCUAGGACACAAACUGGGGCUUAAAUACCUUCAAAUGAGCUCCGAAAAUGAAACAUAAUAGACUGUUUUUUUCGGCAUAUGAGAAGGAAACCGUCGGACUCAGCAAGUUCUUCAAGAUUUGUGGUCAGCUGAAUCCAACAUUAAAACUGGCCGGUUCACAUGACAAUGAACCAGCCACUUGACAGUAAAGUCCCAAAUCUAUGGAUUCUAGGUAACUCGGGCGAGUCCCGAACCAGAUCCCUUGUCUUUUAAGCACCGACAAAGAGAAAAGAAAAAGAAAGAAGUGAAGGAAAUGGGGAAGGGGAUUAGGCAGUCAAUAUAGAAAAAACUUAAUCAAAAAAUAAAAAAAGCUACACUUUACAUAUACACACAAAGAGGGAUGGAUGGGGAUGAAAAUCAAUAUUUAUGUACAAAUAAGCGAGAAAAAUGAAAUAGAAUAAUCUAUAUAACAUACAUGAUCAUCAUCCCAACUUUAUACAAUUAUUUGAGAUCGACUACAAAAACAUCAACAAUACAAUAAAUUUAAUGCUGAGAGAAAAAGGUCUCUAGUGAAAUAC